GCAGAGUAGAUUUGCACGUGAUCAGUGCCGACGGGACGGGGAGUUGUCCGCCGGACGAAAGGGAGCGAUCCCGCAGUGUGCAUUUCGCAUCCCGCUGC
rnacentral:ncRNA from 1 species